rnacentral:rRNA from 1 species
AGCGCAGGCGGAGAAGCAAGUCAGUGGUGAAAACGAUGGGCUUAACUCAUCGACUACCAUUGAAACUGUUUCCCUUGAGUGAAGUAGAGGCAGGCGGAAUUCCAAGUGUAGCGGUGAAAUGCGUAGAUAUUCGGAGGAACACCAGUGGCGAAGGCGGCCUGCUGGGCUUUAACUGACGCUGAGGCUCGAAAGUGUGGGAGCAAACA